rnacentral:rRNA from 1 species
GUAGCCGGCCGGAUAAGUCUCUUGGGAAAUCUGGCAGCUUAACUGUCAGGCUUUCAGGAGAUACUGUCUGGCUCGAGGCCGGGAGAGGUGAGAGGUACUUCAGGGGUAGGGUGUGAAAUCUUGUAAUCCUUGAAGGACCACCAGUGGCGAAGGCGUCUCACCAGAACGGACCUGACGGCAAGGGACGAAAGCUAGGGGCACGAACCGGAUUAGAUACCCGGGUAGUCCUAGCCGUAAACGAUACUCGCUAGGUGUCGGCAACGGUGCGACCGUUGUCGGUGCCGUA